rnacentral:rRNA from 1 species
GACGAACGCUGGCGGCGUGCUUAACACAUGCAAGUCGAACGAAGUGGCGAACGGGUGAGUAACGCGUAAUCAACCUGCCCUUCAGAGGGGGACAACAGCUGGAAACGACUGCUAAUACCGCAUACUGAAGGAGGGGUUUGCGUCUGAUUGGCUAGUUGGAGGGGUAACGGCCCACCGAGGCGAUGACCAGUAGCCGGUCUUGGAGGGUGAACGGCCACAAUGGGACUGAGACACGGCCCAGAAUCCUACGGGGGGCAGCAGUGGGGAAUCUUCCGCCAUGGACGAAAGUCUGACGGAGCAACGCCGCGUGAGUGAUGACGGCCUUCGGGUUGUAAAGCUCUGUUAAUCGGGGCGCGGUACCGGAAUAGAAAGCCACGGCUAACUACGUGCCAGCAGCCGCGGUAAUAC